UUCACUGGCACUUCACGUACCAUUCUCUGGUCUUCACGGCAUACUGCUAAAGAAAGUUGCAACCAAGAAACAGAAAAUGGAUGCAGUUUUGAAAGAAUUCAGCUGACCAUGCCAAUUCCCUGGCGGACAUCAGAUUAGAGGAACCAGGAUGGGGAAACAGUGAUCAGAUAAUGAGCCUUGCUGGCCACCUGACAGCUUACCACCAGCGUAUUAGCAUCAGCUGUGAGGAACCCAGCACUGACAGAGGAAUGAAGGCUCACCUCCAAAGCCAGUUGGUGGGAAUGAGCAAGUGCUGGAGAAUGCUGGUGGCUCCUUUCUUCCCUCUACCAUUUAGAAGAAAAGCAUGGAAAUUUGUUCUCUCCACUACUGGCUUAUAAAGUCCUUGGGGAUCUUCUUCUUCUUCUUUUUUAUUUUAUUUUAUUUUUUAUUUUUUUCCCCGAAGAGUUUGCACAUCUCUAAUCAAGGUAUCUGAAAGUCCUAUCUGAACACAAACAAUAAAGAUAAAAACACUAGGCAAAACUGAAAACUUUUUAUAGGAGUUGAGUAACAAAGACAGACUUCCUUAGAGAGGAGGUCUAUGUACUGGUCCAAGGGCUGAUACAAAAACCUAAGCAGAACAGAUUAAAUGAGAUGAUACAACUGAAAGUUCAAGGAAAGAGGUUUUCAGAAUAAAUAACGGAGAGGAAGGGAGGGAGACAGGAAAUGAGGAAAAGAAGGGAUACAGAAAAGAAUAAGAGAGACACAGAGAAUAAACAAUGUAUUUUUAAAGAGAGGCAAAAAUGACUGAUUUCGAGGGAAUAACAAAGUGAGGUUUGAAAAGAAAAAUCUGUUUUUUUAAGAAGAUUUGUUUCCUAUUUCUGGUUCUGCCAUCGGUCUGCUGCAGUCUUCACUUUCUUCUGCUCCCCUGUUUCAAUCUUUAUCUUCUCUACAUAUGUUGUAAAGUCUUCUGGGAAGGAUCUCCUACUGUAUAUUUUUACAUUGCCUAACAAAAUAGCGCCUCAGUCAUAACUUGUGCCUCUUAAUAUUACUGCAGCACAAAUAGUAAAGAGCAUUAGUAAUAAUAGCUGGGAAAGCUGUUCAGUAAUUUUUUACCUUAAGAUUUUUAACAGCAAAUGUCAUUUCUGUGAUGCUGAUGCUGUUCAAUUUGGCCAAUGAAAUUCAAAUUAUCUAUCAUGAAAACUGAAAGAAAAUAUAGUGUUUCAUUUCAGUUCAUCUGAAAAAAAACCCUUUUGCUUCUUGAACGGAUACAAAACAUUUCAGAUGCAUAAACUGCACAUCUCUUUUUUGGGAGUUCCUCUCUUAAAUAGCAUGAUCCACUGGAGGAUGUGUGGUCACUCAGUAGCUGGGGCGUACCGCAAGUUGAAGUCUAGCUAAGAAGUCUGUUAGACACCAAAGCAACAACUACUAUAGGGCCAUACAGUUUAAGAUUGAGCUGACCUGAAAUGAAAUUACAUAUUUAAGUGAAAAUCCUGAAACAAAGUAUCAGAUUUACAAAUAAAAAUUCUCCCAAGCUUUAGAAAGCUAUAAAAAAAGUUUCAUAGUUCAGUGUGAUCCUGAUUCAGGACAAACCCCCCAAAUUUGAGUAUUUGGAAUUCUUCAUGGAGCAGUGAAUUUUUGUUAAUUGUUAUUACUGAGGAACAGUUAUUAGAUAUUGGAAAUAGCCUCAUAGUAUGGUUCCCAGACAGGCAGUAACAGAGGAUGAUGACCCCAGUGGAAACAGAGGGAGGGAGGAAGUAACUCUUCAGAAGUUAGAAAACAAAAAUGCUAAAAAUCAGAUUGCCAUGGAAAGGAAUAAAUAAGUGAAGCAGUUUGGAUGAGGCUCAGUGGUGUAAAGAGUAAUCAAAGGAUGUUUUGAAUAUGCACAGUGCUAGAAAUGACUAAAAAUACAUUUUUGUUGUGUUUCUGCAAAAAGGGAAAUAGCAGGAAUAGAGGUUUGUUGUAAUUAAAAUGUCUCCCGUUAUAAAAAGCACAUGUGUGGGUAGGGAAAAAGGGAUUUUAUUCUUCCUCAGUGUGUGUUGACAAAAACUGUAUUCUCAUGCGAAAUCUAUAUUUAAAAUGCAAAAUAUAUAUUUAAAAUAUAACUAAGGAAAACUAACAUAUAUAGACUAUUAAUCACAAAAAUAAACAUUUUAUUUGUUUUUGAGGUGGUUGGUUUUCUUGUAGCAACUGUUUGUGCUCUAAUAGCUUAUGCUGUGCCUGCUAAUAUGUAUUAAAUACUUGAAAAAGAUAUAAUAAUAAUUAUUGUUAUUAUUUUGAUUAAA